rnacentral:lncRNA from 10 species
ACAGAUCGCAAGCUAAAUCAUCCAUCUUAGGAGGUACAGACUACAGGGGGCCGUGGCUUCCUCUUAACCGCGGCAGCUGCUGAUAAAUACUGUACUAUUAACAGUGAGGCCCGGCGUAAUUUCCUUAUUAGAGGGCUUCUUUACGUCUCUUCAUCCCAAACUGGGAAAAGCUUGCUGGCCUGCUCUAUAGUGCUGUUGCUUAAAAAGUCAUCUGUGAAGAAAACCAGAGGGAGAAAUUUCACCUGCCAAAGUGGAUAAAGAGGACUGUGCUUGCAGCAAGAAAUAUUGAGGGAUGAGGUACUACCUUCACUCAGAUAAAGAACUUGCUUGCUUCAGCUUGUUGUAAAAUGGCAAGUUCCCCAAGCUGUGGGUUCUAUAAGUGUUCCUCUGUUGUGAAGCAACCCAUGGCCUAUGCAAGUAUCCACCUGAGUCCUCUGCAUUGGACUUGGGAGGAGGCAAGGAGAACUAAUAUAAACAUGAUGCUCAUGCUACUUGCUGUGCUAUGAAUAAUAAAUUCCUUUGUCUCUA